rnacentral:rRNA from 1 species
UACAGAGGGUGCGAGCGUUGUUCGGAAUCCUUGGGCGUAAAGCGCUUGUAGGCGGCUUGUUAAGUCGCGUGUGAAAUCCCUUGGCUCAACCAAGGAAGUGCGCGCGAAACUGGCGAGCUCGAGUGCCGGAGAGGGUCGCGGAAUUCCCGGUGUAGAGGUGAAAUUCGUAGAUAUCGGGAAGAACACCCGUGGCGAAGGCGGCUCUCUGGGACGGUACUGACGCUGAGACGCGAAAGCGUGGGGAGCGAACAGG